rnacentral:rRNA from 1 species
AGAGUUUGAUCAUGGCUCAGAUUGAACGCUGGCGGCAUGCUUUACACAUGCAAGUCGAACGGUAACAGGCCGCAAGGUGCUGACGAGUGGCGAACGGGUGAGUAAUGUAUCGGAACGUGCCCAGUCGUGGGGGAUAACGCAGCGAAAGCUGCGCUAAUACCGCAUACGAUCUAUGGAUGAAAGCGGGGGACCGUAAGGCCUCGCGCGAUUGGAGCGGCCGAUAUCAGAUUAGGUAGUUGGUGGGGUAAAGGCUCACCAAGCCAACGAUCUGUAGCUGGUCUGAGAGGACGACCAGCCACACUGGGACUGAGACACGGCCCAGACUCCUACGGGAGGCAGCAGUGGGGAAUUUUGGACAAUGGGCGCAAGCCUGAUCCAGCAAUGCCGCGUGCAGGAAGAAGGCCUUCGGGUUGUAAACUGCUUUUGUACGGAACGAAACGGUCCUGGUUAAUACCCGGGGCUAAUGACGGCACCGUAAGAAUAAGCACCGGCUAACUACGUGCCAGCCGCCGCGGUAAUAC